UACGGAGGGUGCAAGCGUUGUUCGGAAUCACUGGGCGUAAAGCGCGUGUAGGCGGCCUCCUCAGUCUGAUGUGAAAGCCCGGGGCUCAACCCCGGAAGUGCAUUGGAUACUGGGAGGCUGGAGUACCGGAGAGGAGGGUGGAAUUCCUGGUGUAGCGGUGAAAUGCGUAGAUAUCAGGAGGAACACCGGUGGCGAAGGCGGCCCUCUGGACGGAUACUGACGCUGAGACGCGACAGCGUGGGGAGCAAACAGG
rnacentral:rRNA from 1 species